rnacentral:rRNA from 1 species
AUUGAACGCUGGCGGCAUGCUCUACACAUGCAAGUCGAACGGUAACAGGGUGCUUGCACCGCUGACGAGUGGCGAACGGGUGAGUAAUGCGUCGGAACGUGCCGAGUAGUGGGGGAUAACGCAGCGAAAGUUGUGCUAAUACCGCAUACGUACUGAGGUAGAAAGUGGGGGACCUUCGGGCCUCACGCUAUUCGAGCGGCCGACGUCUGAUUAGCUAGUAGGUGAGGUAAAGGCUCACCUGGGCGACGAUCAGUAGCGGGUCUGAGAGGAUGAUCCGCCACACUGGAACUGAGACACGGUCCAGACUCCUACGGGAGGCAGCAGUGAGGAAUAUUGGUCAAUGGGUGAGAGCCUGAACCAGCCAAGUCGCGUGAAGGAUGAAGGAUCUAUGGUUCGUAAACUUCUUUUAUAGGGGAAUAAAGUGCAGGACGUGUCCUGUUUUGUAUGUACCCUUUUGAAUAAGGAUCGGCUAACUCCGUGCCAGCAGCCGCCGUAA